GAUGAAGAACGUAGCGAAAUGCGAUAAGUAAUGUGAAUUGCAGAAUGCAGUGAAUCAUCGAAUCUUUGAACGCACAUUGCGCCCGCCAGUAUUCUGGCGGGCAUGCCUGUUCGAGCGUCAUUUCAACCCUCAGGCCCCCAGUGCCUGGUGUUGGGGAUCGGCCCAGCCUUCCUGUAAGGCCGCCGGCCCCGAAAUCUAGUGGCGGUCUCGCUGUAGUCCUCCUCUGCGUAGUAGCACAACCUCGCAGUUGGAACGCGGCGGUGGCCAUGCCGUUAAACACCCCACUUCUGAAAGUUGACCUCGGAUCAGGUAGGAAUACCCGCUGAACUUAAGCAUAUCAAUAAGCGGAGGA
rnacentral:misc_RNA from 1 species